rnacentral:rRNA from 1 species
AUUGAACGCUGGCGGCAGGCCUAACACAUGCAAGUCGAACGAGUGGCGGACGGGUGAGUAAUGUCUGGGAAACUGCCUGAUGGAGGGGGAUAACUACUGGAAACGGUAGCUAAUACCACAUACCAUCAGAUGUGCCCAGAUGGGAUUAGCUAGUUGGUGGGGUAACGGCUGACCAAGGCGCCGAGCCCUAGCUGGUCGGAGAGGAUGACCAGCCACACUGGAACUGUGACACGGUCCAGACUCCUACGGGAGGGAGCAGGUGGGAAUAUUGGACAAUGGGCGAAAGCCUGAUCCAGCCAUGCCGCGUGUGUGAAGAAGGUCUUCGGAUUGUAAAGCACUUUAAGUUGGGAGGCGUUACCAACAGAAUAAGCACCGGCUAACUUCGUGCCAGCAGCCGCGGUAAUAC